UACGGGGGGGGCAAGCGUUGCUCGGAAUUACUGGGCGUAAAGGGCUCGUAGGUGGCCAACUAAGUCAGACGUGAAAUCCCCAGGCUUAACCUGGGAACUGCGUCUGAUACUGGAUGGCUAGAGUUUGGGAGAGGGAUGCGGAAUUCCAGGUGUAGCGGUGAAAUGCGUAGAUAUCUGGAGGAACACCGGUGGCGAAGGCGGCAUCCUGGACCAACACUGACGCUGAGGAGCGAAAGCCAGGGGAGCAAACGGG
rnacentral:rRNA from 1 species